AUGCACGCUGGCGGCGUGCCUAAUACAUGCAAGUCGAGCGAACAGACGAGGAGCUUGCUCCUCUGACGUUAGCGGCGGACGGGUGAGUAACACGUGGAUAACCUACCUAUAAGACUGGGAUAACUUCGGGAAACCGGAGCUAAUACCGGAUAAUAUAUUGAACCGCAUGGUUCAAUAGUGAAAGACGGUUUUGCUGUCACUUAUAGAUGGAUCCGCGCCGCAUUAGCUAGUUGGUAAGGUAACGGCUUACCAAGGCAACGAUGCGUAGCCGACCUGAGAGGGUGAUCGGCCACACUGGAACUGAGACACGGUCCAGACUCCUACGGGAGGCAGCAGUAGGGAAUCUUCCGCAAUGGGCGAAAGCUUGACGGAGCAACGCCGCGUGAGUGAUGAAGGUCUUCGGAUCGUAAAACUCUGUUAUUAGGGAAGAACAAAUGUGUAAGUAACUAUGCACGUCUUGACGGUACCUAAUCAGAAAGCCACGGCUAACUACGUG
rnacentral:rRNA from 1 species